AAAUUGAAGAGUUUGAUCAUGGCUCAGAUUGAACGCUGGCGGCAGGCCUAACACAUGCAAGUCGAACGGUAACAGGAAACAGCUUGCUGUUUCGCUGACGAGUGGCGGACGGGUGAGUAAUGUCUGGGAAACUGCCUGAUGGAGGGGGAUAACUACUGGAAACGGUAGCUAAUACCGCAUAACGUCGCAAGACCAAAGAGGGGGACCUUCGGGCCUCUUGCCAUCGGAUGUGCCCAGAUGGGAUUAGCUAGUAGGUGGGGUAACGGCUCACCUAGGCGACGAUCCCUAGCUGGUCUGAGAGGAUGACCAGCCACACUGGAACUGAGACACGGUCCAGACUCCUACGGGAGGCAGCAGUGGGGAAUAUUGCACAAUGGGCGCAAGCCUGAUGCAGCCAUGCCGCGUGUAUGAAGAAGGCCUUCGGGUUGUAAAGUACUUUCAGCGGGGAGGAAGGGAGUAAAGUUAAUACCUUUGCUCAUUGACGUUACCCGCAGAAGAAGCACCGGCUAACUCCGUGCCAGCAGCCGCGGUAAUACGGAGGGUGCAAGCGUUAAUCGGAAUUACUGGGCGUAAAGCGCACGCAGGCGGUUUGUUAAGUCAGAUGUGAAAUCCCCGGGCUCAACCUGGGAACUGCAUCUGAUACUGGCAAGCUUGAGUCUCGUAGA
rnacentral:rRNA from 1 species